rnacentral:rRNA from 1 species
GACGUAGGGUCCAAGCGUUGUCCGGAUUUACUGGGCGUAAAGAGCGCGUAGGCGGCUCGUUAAGUGUGAAGCUAAAUCCCCGGGCUCAACCCGGAAACUAUUUCGCAUACUGGCGAGCUGGAGUGAUGCAGAGGUUUGUGGAAUUCCUGGUGUAGCGGUGAAAUGCGUUGAUAUCAGGAGGAACACCCAUGGCGAAGGCAGCAAACUGGGCAUUAACUGACGCUGAGGCGCGAAAGCGUGGGUAGCAAACAG